UACUUAAAUCUGCUCUUUGAGGACAAAGUGGGAUUUUUUUUAUUCUCAUUCUUUUCCAUUUAAGAUGGAAUAACAUUGACAUAAUACUGUUGUGGUUUUUGUACUUGACGGCAUUUAGGAGCGGGGACAUUUUUCCACUCCACUGCUGUAUCUGAAUGCUUGUCGUAAAGAUACGCAGGCUUGUUUAUCAAGAAGUGUGCUCUGCUUCCUGGACUAGGACAGUAAAUUCACAGGGAUUUUCUCUACUUAUGACCAUUAAAACUAUGCACAUGACUGAUUCGAAAUGAAUCCCUGGAGAUACUGACUCUUGUUCAUCGAGAAAAGUGAAUUAUCCUGGAUAAGUGAACUACUGGGACUAGUACAGUAUUGAAUUGGACUUGGACAGCAAGAUAUCAUCUUACAGCCUGCCUCCUUGUCAUUUCUAGAACUCUCCAGUGACUGAGGCCCAAGUAUCUAGAGAAGAUGACAGAGGAUUGCGCCAGGAGAAUGGUUGUAAUGACAGAUCACCUGUGGAACUGACUCAUAUGCUUCAGAAGCAGGUCCAAUAUUUUAACCACCUGUUUUUAUGUGGGCCUCCAAUGCAUCAGAGACUGAGGAGAAGAAUUCGAAGUUAUUAAAGUUGCCGAACCUCCGAACUGAAUAUCUACAUUGCAGGAAGUGAUGAAUGUUACGCAAAGUUGCUGCAUCAGCUAGUUUGAAUUUGGCAUACUGCUU